CCUUUUAACUGGCAGGGGAGAUACCAUGAAGCCAAGAAGAUGGUUCACCCAGGGCGAGGCUCAGCCAUUGCACUCCGGUUGUGCUGACCUCUACGAAUUCCCCGACUGCGUUC
rnacentral:snRNA from 1 species